GUCAGCAGCUACUGAACAACAUCAUACUUCCGUUAAACGUUAGUCUUGACUGGCAGACCAAUACGGUACACGGUAAUUGCUGGAGUGUACCUUAAUCCUUGCAUCCUGGCAUCCUGCAAACUCAUAAGGACAAGCUGAGAGACUUUGCGUUUCGUCGAAACCAAUGGAAGACGUUCUCAACAUAUCGCUUGUUUUGGUAUAGAACGGGUUAACAGGAUCGAACGACACGCCAAGCAUGCACAUGAUCAAAUAUGGCGGAGGAAAGGCUAAUUGCAGGAAGCUGCCAUUUUUUUAAAGCAUACGGAGCAGACGGCAUCAUCUCUCGCAGUGUAAUGAUAUCUCGCAACGAUGUGUCUUCUCUAUUCAGGAGUCGAAAAGACGAAAGUCUGUCAGGACAACUUAUAAGCUUGGCUUCCGGCUACAGUAAACUGGUUUGCACUAGCUAUUCAGUUGACUCAUCAAGAAUAUGGGAACGCAACAGGCACAGUAUCAGUUGGGGCGGCGAUAACCAGUCAGCGUCCACACAGCAAGCAACGCUAGUCCUAGCGGCAGCAGUAGGAGAUAAAUCGGAUAGCUGAAUCAUGAACUUCAUCGUUUUGCGUUUUAUCGCUGGUUGCGUUUUACGUCGGCUCCACCGUCAGUCUGUGAGUACGAGUUGACACCUCCCGCCGAGCCCAACUGUCCGCUGGUCGUACGCGCGGGAUAAGAUUUCGAAUGAAAACACAGACCCGAACCCGAACAGGGUCCUAUAGCGUACGACUGAUCGUUCUGUCCGUCUACCCUGCCCGGUUAUCAGCCCCCCUGCUAGAUUGAUUUGAAGUGCACAGCCGGUACGGCGGCGGUAAUACUGGCGUAAGCCGUAGAAAGUAGCCAGGGACCGAACGACGAAACGCGGAUGUCAACAGGAUCAAUGGAAUCCGAAUUGUUUAUUGGGGACCACUAGUGAGCGGAGCAGUGCAGCGUAUGCUACAAAAUCCCAUAGUCUCUUCAAGUCGUUUUAAUGAAGUAAAUUGAGACGAAACGUUCGUUUGAUUCAGAUGGCGCUAAACACUGUGCAACUGAACGCUUCACUCGGGCCAAAAUGAACUACGCUACAGGAAAUCGUUAGUCAUAUGAUUGACCUAGAAACACGACCAAAUUAGAUUGCCACCUUAUCUCGUGAAGCACUUGCUCUCUUCUAUGAAAGACUUCGAUGUUAAAAGCUAGCAGUGUUUCCUUUUUCUUUUUCCCAAUAUCAAAUACAGACGAUUUUCAAAGAAAACGUAAGAAAGAGAAAGCCACUUUCUAAUUGGAUAAAACGCUUCGUGUCAGCAACUCUCCACCACAGGGCACAUAUUUGGAGCGAAAUCUGCAUUCACGACACCUAUCGUGGGUCACGAUACAAUCGGGCCUUGGUGUUCCCUGUGGGAGCCACAGCUGCUUCCUACAGCUACCAAGCUUACCCUGGUCCACGACUGCGCCUGGUCAUCUGAAACAUGUGGCUAUGUGUGUAAGCAGUUAAAACGACAUUUAGAGAAAAUUAGUUACCGAACUAUAUAACGACACAGCGUUUACCCUACAAUACCUUAGAUACGAUGUGGACGUACUACACAUACAAUCAUUGACGAAAGAAGCUUGAGUUUAUAAUUAUAUUUACUUGUUAAUGGUCUGUGUUCGUUAAUCACUUCGUCAAAACGUGUUUUUUUUUAUUCACGUAAACCGACACGCCUACCUAUGUGUGCGUGACAGACUAUCACAGUCAUGCCAAAUGUAUGUCUAGCAAUCACAUGUCAGUUACGAAGCACAAAAGCGAUGAAAGUUCUGCACCGCAGUAAGUUCACAUUGAAACAGUGUCCAUAAAGAUUUGCACGCAUCUCAGUUAACGCCAUUAACGUUAAUAACGCCGAGAUCGUUACUCCCUGUGUCGUAACGAUCACAAUUAAUUACAACAAUGUGUACAAUUUCCUACUAGUAACCCCGUUUAUUUAGUUAAUGACCCAUUUUUUACUACACCUAUAUAGCGAGUGUUAUCCAGUACUACCGUGACAUCCUCCCUAAUCGAGUCACAAUGUCGGAGCUGUUGUACUAUCUUUGUGACCCAAUUGUUGCAGCAUCAGCCUGUUUUCGUAGCAAAUUUAAUAAUUUCAUUACCUUACUUACCAACUGUUUAAUUAAAAAGACUCAGGUAUUUUGCUAUUAAUGUUCGAGACUCUGUAAUAUAAGUUUCGUUCUAAUUCCGUGCUCGCACUGUAAUUAAGCCGUCAGUACGCUACCAUCAACACGUUGCGCACUUGUAGCUCCUCGGUUACUUCACGAUACGCCAAGGUGAUCUUAUUUAAGAAGUUCAAUGCGAAUAUAGAUAUUUUUUGUAAGUUCUCAAGCUAUUCUAUUUCAUGUAUCACAAUCAGUAGCGACGGCGGCAAAAAGUACAAAAGUAGUUAUUACCACCAGUCUAGUGUUUCUUUUGUAGAGAAAACAACAGCCGAGGGACUUCAUGGGGAAAAAUAUCUAAUUCGGUACGUAUAGCCUGUAGCAAAAAAAAAAUCGAAGCAACCUUAAAGCCCCAAAAAAUCGUCUUUUCCCCACUUAUAUUUUUGUGUACUGAAGUUUUUAAUGUUUUGGUGUAAAAGAUACCUUCCUGCCGCUUUCUUUCGGCCCGCUUCCUCGAUAGGCGUUAUGCAAGAAAAGCGUCUAGUGUCCUUUUCGAGCCUGAUAGCACAUACAUAUCUCCUACACUAACGUAGGAAUGUGUCAUAAGAUUUCGUUCUGCUUCAAACUAGCCAGACGUAAGUCUACUUUUGUGCUACCUAACGCAAGUUGCUUAAAGGGAGCCAGGUAUGAUAUGGUUGAACCGAACGCAAAUUAACAGUCUAUAAGAUAAAUAGCCUUCAGCUAGACUACACGAUCGUAUUCUACCAGAUCGCAAUCGGACCUAUGUUAUCUUUAUUUCCAAAUUAUAUAUAUAAAUAUAAAGAAAUUUAUAAAUAAAUAAAAAAAAAAAAAAAAAAAGAUCUAAAGCCAAAUGUUGUAAAAUGUGAUAGAUUUCAAGGUUAAAGGCAAAAAGGUAAUUCAUGUUUUCCAGAUAUUUCGAAGUUGUGCCAGAUAUUCAAGUUAUGCUAUAUUACAACCUCAUUACUCAUAGCAACGUCCUGCCUGUGUCGAUCGAGGCUAUUUGAUUUAGGAAGGGAACCAUUGGCUCAAAUUAAAUUGGCUUACUUUGAGGAAGUCAACAAUUUAAUACUGUACUCAUUCAUACCCGAAGACCUUGGUCCUUAAAAUGGGUCAGAGGAAGGUCAUUAGUAACCGAAUUCGCUUAGCGCAUGCCCGAUUUCGCCACUAGUAACAGAAAUGUGUUUUGAAACCAAUACCAAUUUCGAAUUGUUCUAAAAACUAAAUAAACUACUUUGUUUGUCACUUUUAAAUCUGACCUAUUUGACAAGAAUUGACUUCAUUUCACCGUAGAGGAUAGGUUUCACUUUCAGAACACCCGAUCCGCCGCGUCGCAGAUCGCUAGUCAAUCCACCGAACGCUUUUCGAAAUUUCACUCAAAGCCCGCCGAUCGCUAUAACAUCCAAUCCACCCAUUCGCAUAAUGAAUGUAUCACACAACGUAUUAGCUCGUAUUCGCAUUUUAAAGAAACUGCGAUUUUAGUGUUACGUGGCAGGGUUAUUUCAGUCUAAUUGAUAGCGUCUACAAGCCAAGCGAAGCUGGUGUUUUCUUUUGAUCGACAUCUCCAUAUUGUAUCGAAGCUCAUAACAAACGUCUCGAUAUUUUGCACGAAAAAAUACAAUGAUUAACAGUUCAAUUGGCUUUGCCUGUCCAUAUUUCUUUCUUUGGCGAGAAGGAUGUUAACAUGUCGGCACACACUUCCCUCGCAGUCGUUUUUCUCUAUCGGAACUGACACUCUGGCACUUCGUCGUCAAUUUGCGUAGAAAUCUGCCACGUUGUCUUCAUGCAGCGCAAUCAACAGCGGUGGCGGCAAAAAGUCGUUAUUACCACCAGUCACGUUCAUAAACGAGCCUCCCUAUCGCUUCGAACAGAAGGAUGGGGUGUCAGUAAAUUUGGUAUUUGAAUAAUACACAUUGGUGACAAAAUGAUCUUCUUAGACGUCAACUUCAAUCAACACGAUGCCAUAACUCCUGCAAACGGAUUACAGAUGUCCACUGCACGGCGGACAGUGGGUGGGCCGCGUGUCGAACAUUCACGAUCACCCCCUUUUCAAGGAACUACUCAACGUACCCGAUGUUUUCUCGUUGUAGGUUGCUAUCGAUAUUUGUGCCUUUUUAGCUAGAGUGAUCUGUAUGAAUAUGUGUGCGUCUAUCUAAAGUAUUGUUUUUUUACCAGUUAUUAAGCGCUGCAUGAAGCUCGUAUUGUGAUGCGGGCUUCUGGUUUGAGUUAUCUGUAGAUUUAUUAUUAUUAUUAUAAUAUUCGCGGUUAUUCAGCAUACUAUUUACCUGGCGGUUUUCGUUCUAGCUGCUGAUGCAAUUUCAGCGA